GAUUGGAGCUUAACCACCACAUGGUGUGGUCGCUGUGCUUAAAAGGCUUCACUUCGCCUUGCCGUAAAGCAGAGCCAAUACGUAACUUUUCGGAGUACGUGAGAAGUUGGAUUUUGUGUGUGCCUUUGUGUGCAGAGUUGGACGCCAUGGUAACCCACUAGGCUUAGCAAGUGGCUCCGGUUGCCGAGAUGCCAUCGCACGCCCAUUGGUCGUAUCCACUCGACCACUGGGUACGGUUGUCCGCUUACACGGCGCGGAGAGCUCAUGACCUGUCUGUGCUUGUUCAGGUAAGGAUGUCGACUGUUGAUCCGAUUGCUCAACGCCUUCUUCAGCCACCAAAGCAGGUCUUGAAUUCCUGCAGGCCUCCUUUGUUUUCCUCAGGUGACGGCGAUUUCGACGAUAUCUGGCUCCAUCUUCGGUAGCCACCUCGAAGGACCGAGUUCCAACACACCUUUCAACCUUUGCUUUCACCGCUUCUUUACUCGGAUUUCCAGGCGGCACGAGUUGCAAUGUAUCUCCACUUCUAACUGCUCUCAGAUCCUUAGCCCCCCUUUUUUAAGCAAGGAAUUGUCGUUCUUUCUUGGCGAGAAGUUUCUGAUAGAUCUUGGGCCCGACAACUGGCCUGAGAAGCUUAGGAAUGAUGGGUAGUUGUGCUCUUGUGCGCCUUGACAUCAAUCGCUGCACUGGACUGGUGCCCAAUCCCUGACUAGGCGUGUUUCUGUAUUCGAGGAGAGCGAGGUAUGGAUCUGUUCUGGCUUUUCUUGACUUCCUCAUUUUUAGCGGAGUUAACAGCUGCUUCUACCUUUCCGUGGCUUUGCGGAUAAGCUGGCGAACUUACAUGCACAAAGUUCCACUGGCGACUGAAUUCCUUAAAUUCAGUUGAGGUAGACUGAGGACCGUUGUCAGAUACACACGGCUCCAGGAUUCCAUUCCUUGCAAAGUGCGACUUUAACUUCUGUACUACCGCCCCCGAAGUAGUUUUGUCAAGGGAAUCGAUUUCCCAGAAAGAAGAAUAGUAAUCAACACAAAUGAGACAGUUUCGACCCCUGUAAGUGAACAAGUCAACUCCAACUUUCGCCCAUGGCCGGUCGGGCACUUCAUGAGGAAUGAGAGUCUCCUUAGGCUGCUUCCGGUCAAACGCCCUGCAGACAUCACACAUUUCAAUAAACUGCUUGAUUUCAGCGCUCAUUCCUGGCCAGUAUAUACUUUCUCUAGCGAGCAAAAGGGCGCUUACAACUCCACUAUGAGCAUAAUGCAGACGAUACAACAUGUCUCGACGCAGCGACUUUGGGACCACUACUGUUUCUCCUCUAAUGACAAUGCCAUCGCAGACGCUCAACUCAUCACGAACGUCAAAGAAGGGCAACACCAGGUGAGAUAGCUCUCCUUUAGUUUCAGGCCAACCAGCCUUGAUGACUUUAAUCAGUUCUAGAAGGCUGUUAUCCUUCUGCGUGUGGUCUGGAAUUUCUUGAAGCGUACUCGGCUUCAAACGGAUGUGUGCUGCGUCAUGUUGAUACUCUCAAUCUUUAAAGCGACAUCCUGGCUUCCAUCGUAGGGUUAAUAAGCCCAACUAGGGUGUCGGCCAGAUCCAUGGUGGAGCCCUUCUUGUAGCCAAGGCUGACGUUGUACAACUGGACUCGCAUGAGCAUGCGCUGAAGCCUCUUCGGAGUUCGAUGCAGUGGCUUCUUGAAAAUAACUUCCAGAGGCUUGUGGUCUGAUUCCACAAACACUUCUUUUACCGUAAGUGUAAGUAUGAAACCUUUCCAAAUCGUAAACAACAGCCAAAAGCUCCUUCUCAAUCCGGGCGUACCAAGACUCUGCAUCGGUUAGCGCACGGCUCGCACAGGCAAUCGGCUGACCCUUCUGAAGUAGGAUGGCACCCAGUCCUUAAUCUGAUGCAUCGCACUGUAAGGUGAGGCUCUCUGUUGAGUCGAAAAAUUUGAGGACAGGUGCCUUUGUGACCAGCAGCUUCACUUGUCGGACAGCACUGUCAUGUAUGUCAGUCCAGAACCACUCUACAUCUGGUGAACUGAGCUUACAGAGUGGCUCCAAUGCAUCACUUAGUCGAGGCAAGAACUUGCUCAGGUAAUUUGUGAAUCCAAUAAAUCUUCGUACACUGGCCACGUCAG